AUGGUGAAACGCAAUGACAAUGGCCGAUGCUAUGAAUGUAUGAAUUAUGGAAAUGUUGAUUUGAAGCACCCUGUCAAUGGUGAUAAAUAUAAAGGUCGCCACUCUCACCCACACAAAGUAGGGUACGGUUUGGUCGAUCGAGGGGUACCUGAAUACAUCCAGAAUGAGGAGGAUAUGCUGGCGGAUGAGGAGGCUAGGAUAAGAUAUAUAUACAAGUGCCCUGAUGAUCGUACUAUUGUGGCAAAAUCGGAUGGUGCAAGAAUGCCUGCAGUUUUGGCCAAGAGAGAGGAUGUUGGUUUGGCCAAAAGAGAUGAUGGCCAGGGAAAAGGGAAAUACAUUGUACCUGCAAGGCGUCAGUUGGUUUGA
rnacentral:rRNA from 1 species